GACGAACGCUGGCGGCGUGCUUAACACAUGCAAGUCGAACGGUGAAGCGCUUGCCUUUUUGGUGGGUGUGGAUGAGUGGCGAACGGGUGAGUAACACGUGAGUAACCUGCCCUCUUCUUCUGGAUAACCUCAUGAAAGUGGGGCUAAUACGGGGUAUUCCGGGUCUGUCGCAUGGCGGGUUUGGGAAAGAUUGCGCCUUUGGGUGUUUUCGGUGGGGGAUGGGCUCGCGGCCUAUCAGCUUGUUGGUGGGGUGAUGGCCUACCAAGGCGGUGACGGGUAGCCGGCCUGAGAGGGUGGACGGCCACACUGGGACUGAGACACGGCCCAGACUCCUGCGGGAGGCAGCAGUGGGGAAUAUUGCACAAUGGGCGCAAGCCUGAUGCAGCGACGCCGCGUGAGGGAUGGAGGCCUUCGGGUGGUGAACCUCUUUCGCCAGUGAAGCAGGCCUGCUCCUGUGUGGGUGGGUUGACGGUAGCUGGACAAGAAGCGCCGGCUAACUACGUG
rnacentral:rRNA from 1 species